rnacentral:rRNA from 1 species
UACGUAGGGUGCAGGCGUUAAUCGGAAUUACUGGGCGUAAAGCGUGCGCAGGCGGUUAUGCAAGACAGAUGUGAAAUCCCCGGGCUCAACCUGGGAACUGCAUUUGUGACUGCAUAGCUGGAGUGCGGCAGAGGGGGAUGGAAUUCCGCGUGUAGCAGUGAAAUGCGUAGAUAUGCGGAGGAACACCGAUGGCGAAGGCAAUCCCCUGGGCCUGCACUGACGCUCAUGCACGAAAGCGUGGGGAGCAAACAGG